rnacentral:rRNA from 1 species
GAUGAACGCUAGCGGCAGGCCUAAUACAUGCAAGUCGAGGGGUAGCGUAGCAAUACGUGUGACCGGCGCACGGGUGCGUAACGCGUAUGGAAGGUGUCCAGUGCUCUGGGAUAGCCCCCGGAAACGGGGAUUAAUACCGGAUGGUCCGGCGGGGAGGCAUCUCCCUGGCGGUUAAGCUCCGGCGGCACUGGGUCCCCGUGCGUCCGAUUAGCUAGUUGGCGGGGUAGCGGGCCACCACGGCGGCGAUCGUUAGGGGUCCUGGGGGGGAGACCCCCCACACUGGUAGUGAGAAACGGGCCAGAGUCAUACGGCAGGCAGCAGUAGGGAAUAUUGGGGAAGGGGCGAAAGCCUGACCCAGACAUGCCGCGUGGAGGAAGAAGGCCCUCUGGGUUGGAAACUGCUUUUGGGAGGGGACAAAAAGCGGGUGCGGCCGUAAUUGAGUGUACCUCCAGAAUAAGCACCGGCUAACUCCGUG